GACAGAGGGUGCGAACGUUGCUCGGAAUCACUGGGCGUAAAGCGCGUGUAGGCGGACGAUCAAGUCAGGUGUGAAAUCCCUGGGCUCAACCCAGGAACUGCAUCUGAAACUGGUUGCCUUGAGUGUUGGAGAGGGAAGCGGAAUUCCUGGUGUAGAGGUGAAAUUCGUAGAUAUCAGGAGGAACACCGGUGGCGAAGGCGGCUUCCUGGACAAUUACUGACGCUGAGACGCGAAAGCGUGGGGAGCAAACAGGAUUAGAUACCCUGGUAGUCCACGCCGUAAACGAUGAGUGCUAGGUGUCUCGGGUAUUGACCCCUGAGGUGCCGUAGCUAACGCGUUAAGCACUCCGCCUGGGAACUACGGCCGCAAGGCUAAA
rnacentral:rRNA from 1 species